GAUGAACGCUGGCGGCGUGCUUAACACAUGCAAGUCGAACGAGAAAUGUAGACGGAAACCUUCGGGCGGAAGCCUUCAUUUCGAGUGGCGGACGGGUGAGUAACGCGUGGGUAACCUGCCUCAUACAGGGGGAUAACAGUUGGAAACGACUGUUAAUACCGCAUAAGACCACAGCAUCGCAUGAUGCGGGGGUAAAAACUCCGGUGGUAUGAGAUGGACCCGCGUUCGUUUAGCCAGUUGGCGGGGUAACGGCCCACCAAAGCGACGAUCGAUAGCCGAUCUGAGAAGAUGGCCGGCCACAUUGGGGCUGAGACACGGCCCAAACUCCUACGGGAGGCAGCAGGGGGGAAUAUGGCACAAUGGGGGAAACCCUGAUGCAGCGACGCCGCGUGAGUGAAGAAGUACUUCGGUAUGUAAAGCUCUAUCAGCAGGGAAGAAAAGGACGGUACCUGAGUAAGAAGCCCCGGCUAACUACGU
rnacentral:rRNA from 1 species